rnacentral:rRNA from 1 species
UACGUAGGUGACCAGCGUUGUCCGGAUUUACUGGGCGUAAAGCGUGCGUAGACGGUUAUGUAAGUCGGGUGUGAAAGCCCCGGGCUCAACCUGGGAAUGCCAUUCGAGACUGCAUAGCUAGGGUGCGGAAGAGGGAAGCGGAAUUUCCGGUGUAGCGGUGAAAUGCGUAGAUAUCGGAAGGAACACCAGUGGCGAAGGCGGUUCUCUGGGCCUUACCUGACGCUGAGGAGCGAAAGCGUGGGGAGCGAACAGG